AUUAUGAGCCUGUGUUUUGCUUGUGUCUCGACAGAUGUGGAUGGCAAGUGGAACUUUAAGCCUAUUAGGUUAAUCAUGCCCUAGCCAGUCAGCACUCACAGUGUGUGCCAAUAUAGAAGUUCUCAGCGCUUACUAUCUUGGGAAGCGGAUUAUUUUUGCAUGUGCUUAUGCUUUUAAUUCUGUUCAGAUGCCUGCCAUAUGAAACCUAGAGAAAUUAGCUGUGAUUGUGAAAGCCUCUGGAAGAGACGCAUUUGUCGAUGAGAAGACAAGGCUUGAGAAUUACAGACUCCAGAAGAAAUGUGACCUUCACAGCUUAACAAGGGCAAACCGAUGGAGUGUGCUCCAAUCUGUUAUCAAGAGGACCCUGAACAUGCAAUGGACAACAACCAAGCUGUGCAUUGUUGUCUUUGAGGCUUGUAAAACCCUGUGGCCAUAGUGAUGGACAUCUUUAAAUAGUAGGGAAGUGAACGAACAAGAGACGAUUGCUUUCCUCUGUAUUAGCACAUUGAGUUAGAUUGCAGGAAAGCCAUCCUUCCUGGCUUGGAGGGAGAGGACAGGGAAACUUACUGCCAGAUAAAGUAUAAAGUCAGUCGCUAUGGACCACGGAGACUCAGGGGCCAAUGCUCUCCUGGGAAGAGACUUUUUGUUAGAUUUUUCUCAUGAGAAAACAAGCAACACCCUGGCAGUGGAGAGUCAUUCAGUCAUUAGGAGUAGGACUCAAGGGGGAAAAUGUGUUUCUGUCUGCAAGCACAUCUUUCUGUUCAGUCUGAGCGGAGUGCCCUUGGCAAGGGUAUCAGCUUAAAAUUCUUUUUAUAAACCUCAUUUGCUGUCAGUAAAGUCUAGAGCAAGAAUUCAGAGAAGGGAGAUUUGGGUUUGGAAUGUGACUCCUUAUGCUUUGAGUUGGAGAACUUUGCUGAAUCAGAGAUCAUCUUUAAAAUGGGGACCGUGGUGCUUACUUUACUGAGCUCUUGUGGGGAUCAGCGCUUGGAUAAGUUUCUUACCACAUGCCUGGACAGGGGUUUACAUCUUAAAUGUUCCCCCAAAGCCUCAUGUGUUUGGAAGCUGAUUGGAUCGUACGGGUGCUACAUCCAUCAACGGAUUCAUCUAUCUAUCAGCUCCGUUGCUGAAUGUGCUGUUAGGAGCUGUUUCUCCUCUGCCAUGCUGCUCUGCCUUGGACCAGCAGACUACGGUGAAACCUCUUCAAACUAUGAACCACAAUAAAUAUUUCCUCCUUUACGUUGCGGUGUCAGGUAUUAUGUCUCAGCAAUGAGAAAGCAACCAAGGCAAUCAUUCUCCAGGGGAAAAAAUUAGAUUCUACCUUUAAAAGUUACUUUAAAAGAGAUCUGGCCUUAUCACAAGUCAAGCAGUGACAUCUAUAUCAUUGCGUAUAGUAAAUAUUAGCUUAUUUAGGUGCCACUCCCUGCUGUUCAGUGCAUUGAAAAUCUCUACUCCAUUUUGGUUCAUGUGGUCCUGCACCGAAUUUAUCAGCAAGAGAUAGUUCCAUUUUAACCAUUUUAGUGGUACCAAUUUUGGCCAAGUCUGAAUAUCAUUCAAACAUUGUCUACCUGAUGGCGCAUGCCUGUAAUCCCAGCAUUUGGAAGGCUGAGGCAGGAGGAUCAUUGUGAGUUCAAGACCAGCCUGAGCUACAAAGUGAGCUCAAGGCCAGCCUGAACUGUAUAGGGAGACCCUGUCUCAAAAAGAUAAAAAAGGAAACAAAAAAAAAAUCAAAAACCAAAAAACACUGUCUAGAAUUUUAUACAGUGAAAUCAUAUAGCAUUUAAUGUUUUGGUUAACUCUUUUCCUCAAUAUAGUUAAUAUUGAGAGUCAUGUCACUUUGUAUAUAUUAAUAAUUCAUACCUUUUUAUUGCUGAGUAAUAUCAUGAGCACUUUUUUGGUGUUCUCAGUAGCAUUAUUUUUUUAUUUUAAACAGGAAAAACAAUAAAAACAAAGUUACAAAAUUUCAAGACAACAUAUUAGUAGCACUAAAGACGAAGACAACCCAAGUGUUUAUCAACUAGUGGUUAUCUAAAGGUGGUAAAUACAUUUAAAUGGAAUAUUAUUCAACCAUUAAAGGAUGUUAAACACUGAUAUGUGCUAUAACACUAUGCCUAUACUUAAUGCCAGUGAAUUGUACACUUUAAAAUGGUUAAAAAGAUGAAUUUUAUGUCAUAUUAUUUUAACAUGGUAGUAGUAAUAUACGCCAUAUAGAAAACACAGAUAAACUUAAAGUAAAACAAAAAUCUGUCAUCUGUAUUUGUCUGUCCUAGCUCUUUCUGACUCAAUACAGUUUGCUCUACAUGCAAUUUGUAACCUAGUUUAAUAUGUCAUAAAUUGAUGUUUGUAUCAUCAAAUAUGCUUUACAGAACUUUAAUGGCUACAAUAUUCCAUUGAGCUAAAGAAAGACAUUUUAUUUGGUCAGAUUCUUAUUACCGAACAGUUAAGUUAAAUGUAUUGUAAAGAGUACUGAAAUAUCUCUGUAGGUAAAUCCUUGCCAUGUUUGGGACUAUUUUCUAAGGAUAAACUCUGGGAUGUGAACUUGCUUAGCUAAAUAAAGCAAAUAUUAAAGAAAAUUGAUAGACUUAAUUUUUUAAGAAUAGUUCUAGAUUUAAAAAAAAAUGGAGCCCAGAAUUACCAUAUACCUUUCUCUCUUACAAUGUUUCCCUUAUAAUUCACAUCUUAGGUUACUAUGGUGCUUUUGUGAUAAUUUUGUCAUUUUGUUUUGUGGCGCUGGGGUUGAACCCAGGGCCUUCAUAUGAGCCACAUCCCCAGAUCUUUUUUUAUUUUGAGGCAGGGUCUCACUAAGUCUACAGGAUGCUCAGGGGGGGCUCUCACUUGGGAUCCUCCCAGCCCAGAUGCUGGAGUAAUAAUGCAUCAGUACUGACACACAGUCAUUUACUGAAGCCAGCACUUCGGUCAGACUUCCUGAGUGUUUAUCUGUGUCCGCUUUGUUCCAGGAUCCCACCCAGGACACCUUUCAUGGCCAGAUCUCCUGAGGCUGCUCCCAGUGAGGACGGUUUCCCAGGCUUUACAUUUUGACGACCCGGAGGUUUGAGGUGUACAGUCAAGUGUACCAUAGGGUACUCCUCCCCUGAGAUUCGUCUGACAUUUUUCUCAUGUCUAAUCUGGGGUGUAUACUGGGGGAGGAAGACAUGGAGGCCGUGGGCCAGUUUCAUCACAUCUCCUCAAGGGCACGUAUUGCCAGCCUGGUUUACAGUUGUUGGUAUCGACCUUGGUCACCGAGCUGCAGUCACGUGUGUCCUGAUUUGCCGUUUGCAGUCCCUCUGCCCCACUUCCCAAUCCUGUCCUCUGAAGGUGAAGCCGAUGUAAAAGUGCCAAACAUCAGUGCUUUUAAAGCUUCCGCUACAGACUGUGACGUUACUUUCCAGAAAGAUCAUGUUAGUUUUUAUUCCCAAUAGUGGUAUAAACAUUCACUUUAUUGCAAGCUUGUCAGCCUUAGCCAUUAGCUUUUAGAAGCCUUCGCUAAGCCUGGUUGGUAAUACACAUCCAUCAUCCCAGGGCUUGGAGGCUGAGGCAGGAGUAUCAGGAGUUCAAGGCCAGCCUGGGGUACACAGGAAGACAGGGUCUAGAAAACAACAAAUAAAUAAAUGUCUGCUGAUUUGAAAGAGGAAAAAAUGGCAUUUCAUGUUAAUUUGCAUUUACUGGUUUAUUAUUUUUUUCAUUUACUGGUUUAUUAAGAGUUUGUAUUUUUUGGUAAGAAAUAUGUGAUGGUCAUUUGUGUAUUUUCUUUCAGAGAUUCCCUACACAUAUCCUUGGUUCAUUUUUUAAAAUUAGGAUGCUUAUCUGUAUUUUGCUGAUUUUCAGAAUGAUAACAUUUCGUUCAAUACUUGUACUACUAGCCUGGUAAAAAGAAGUUUUCCUUUUGCCUUUAAAUUUUAUAUUGUGAAACAGAAUUUUCAUUUUAUAUCAUUGGCUCAUCAGUCUUUAUAAUUUCUAUCUUUAGUAUCAUGUUUAGCAAGUCUGAAUUUAUAUAUGCAUAUGUCUAUAUUUAUUUACUUAUUCCUCUUGAGGCAGGGUCUCACUCUGUAGUUCAGGCUGGUCUUGAACUCACUACAUAGCUCAGGCUGGACUUGAACUCAUGGCAAUCCUCCUGCCUCAGCCUCCCAAGUGCUGGGAUUACAGGUGUGUGCCACCACGCUUGGCUAAAUUUACAUUUUGUAGAAUAUUUGAAUCAGCUUAUACUGAGAAAGUAAUUGUUUAAAGUUGGGAUACAAUACAGGAGGCCUUGGUCUGACUGGCGCUUGGACCAAGAACCAAGAUACCAAGAUACAGAACUGGAUACCUUUCAAUAUGAAUAACAGUAAACCAUGACCUCUUAAAGAAUUCUGGGAUUUUUUUUAAAUGUUUAUGAGAGUCUCAAAAGUGGAACUGAACUGAAUGACACACAACACUAAGUUCUUGAGCAAAACAAAGCAAAGCAAAUGGUGGACAACCUCAGUAGGCAUUUGAAGAUGUGUGUGUGUGCACCGAGUGAGAGCUGUGCCUCGGAGCCAUGGCUGUGACAUAAUGAGAUACGUGUUUUCACCACCUGUAUCAGUUUGCUACGGCUGCUGUGACAAAAACCCAGAGGCCAGGCUGUUCAGAGACAGAGAUUUAUGUCUUCACAGUUCCGGGAAUCUGAGAUCAAGAUGGUGGCCAUGUUGACUUCUUCUGAGGUUCACUCCUUGAGUUGUAGAUAGUUGUCCUCUCCCUGUGACCUCCCAUGGCUGUCCCUUUGUGUGGCCAUGUGUUUCAGGAUGGGAAGGAAGGGAGGAGUAACUUUUCAGGACCAACUCUUCUUGGAAGGACACCAAUCACAUGGGGGCACUUUGGACACAGUCAUCUCCUGAUAUGAUUUUCCAUCUCCAUGUGCUCAUCAGAUUCCCUCUGUGUCGCCUGGGCACAUUUCCAUACAGUCCUGGAAGCCACCGUUUUGGGUAGAGGCACCAGAAUCAAAGUUCCUGGAACUUUGACUUUGAAAACAAAAGGGUCCACUUGGAUAGAGAAGGCCUAGAAGGGGAUGGGACAGCUAGGAGAGUUGGGGUGGAGAAGAGUUUGGGGAGAAGCCACAGGGUCCCAUGUGAAUGUGGGGCUCUCUGUGCCCCACCUCUGACCUCAGGCCUCAUCUAUAGGGGCCUGGGAAGAUGAGGUGCGUGUGCCUCCAUCCCUGACCGCAGCCUGAAGCUGGGAAAGGGCAGGCUGGUAAGCUUGGGAAGAGAUGUACCCUGUCACCUAAUGUGGCCAAGUGGGAAUCAUGGCUAGGUACAAACGAGGGGAGGUUGUCUACCCCAGCUUCCCACAGGUCAUCACGGAAUGGGAGGCCUUUCACACCAGAAGGGUUCCACGCAGGACAAAAUUUUGCAAGGAAAGAGCACCAGGGAAUCUGCCAAGAAUGAGGUGUGAAUACAGAGCUCUGCUGACCACGAGGUCAUCCUGGUCACCUGAUGAACACAAGGAGACAGAAAACCAGAUGAUACAGUGAUCUCCAGAGCCAGAUAGAACGAGAUUAUCUCCAAGGAGGAUAAUCAUCAGAUAACACUUGAGGAGUUCAGAUUCAUUUCUGGGAAAGACAAGACAAGAGAGACAGGCAGAAAGAGGGAGUGAGAGAGGGACAAGGAGAGAGGAAAAGAGAGAGAGAGACAGAGAGAGACAGACAGACAGAGACAGAGAGGGAGAGACAGAGAAUUUUAUAUUCAGUUGUGACUGAAUUAUAAACUUGACUAAGACAUGACUGAAUCUAAGUGAGUUUAUCUGAAAUGACUAGAUUAAAUUUUCUCUGCAUUGAGGCAGAAUGGAGGCUCAAGGCAAAAAUUACACUCAAUUAUAGGAGAAUAGAGAAAAUUGCAUUUUUGCACACUCAAGUCAGUGACUGUGAAAUUUGUACUGGCUCCAACAAUUACAGGCAGCCAGGUGUCAGUAAAAUCUCAAGAACAGAACAAGGAAUCAUUAUGUGCUGUUCUCUCAAGUUAUUACCCGACCUCACCAAUUGCUCAAAAGGCCAGCACAGUGCUUUAUCAUCAGAAAUCAUGAUUAAACUCACUCAAGCUUUUAUUCAUAAUGUUCCCUUUAUAGAAGAAUGCAUAGCCAAGUCUUGUGAGGUAGAAAAAUGUUUUUCGGAGACCUGAGGCGGCCCAGUUCAGAUGGUAAUCCCUAAAGUCUCAGGUAGGGCUGGAUAGCUCCUUUUGCCCCAAUAGAUCUUCUCUGCACACUUGUGUCCCUAUGCCCUUGGAAGCAGAUUCCUAGGGCAUCACUAGGGCUGCUCUCCUUGGGGUGCAUUGACAGGAAGGAGCUCAUAGGAAGGGAGAAGACCGAGUUGGGAUAUUAGCUCCCCAUCUUCCCAUCCUGGUCUCCAUAGGCUGGCUGCAGCCCUCUCCGUAUGGCUGUCUUCUCCGGGUUCCAACAUCCAGUCUUUGUUUUCAGGCCAGGGUAGUAAUGUGCCGUGCAAGGGUGUGCUCUUUUCUUUGGAAGGCCUCCAAAGACUUUACUCACACCCUUAAAAAUGAUCAUCUCUAUUAAACAGCUCUCUAAUUCUU